rnacentral:rRNA from 1 species
GUAGGGAAUAUUGGGCAAUGGUCGGAAGACUGACCCAGCCAUGCCGCGUGCAGGAAGACGGCCCUCUGGGUUGUAAACUGCUUUUAUCUGGGAAGAAAAAGGCCAUGCGUGGCAAAUUGCCGGUACCAGAUGAAUAAGCACCGGCUAACUCCGUGCCAGCAGCCGCGGUAAUACGGAGGGUGCGAGCGUUGUCCGGAUUUAUUGGGUUUAAAGGGUGCGUAGGCGGCUGAUUAAGUCAGCGGUGAAAGACUUCGGCUUAACCGGAGCAGUGCCGUUGAUACUGGUUGGCUUGAGUGUCGGAGGGGUACAUGGAAUUGAUGGUGUAGCGGUGAAAUGCAUAGAUACCAUCAGGAACACCGAUAGCGAAGGCAUUGUACUGGCCGACAACUGACGCUGAUGCACGAAAGUGUGGGGAUCGAACAGGAUUAGAUACCCGAGUAGUCC